CCAGACUCACUUGGAACAUUUGGGCUUUAAUUUGCUAGCAGCCACGUGCAGCAUUAGCUCCCAAUGCCCCUUCACCUCUGUUAACGUGAGUGGUCAUCCAGCCUGUGUGUGGGAAGCACAAAUGCAGAUGGGAUGUGCAGGCAGGAUGCAGACGGGCAGGACUCACACAUGUAGAAUGCUGGCAGGACACACCAGGCACGCUCAUACAGGCAGGGCACACACACAGGACACGCAUAUGCAGAAUGCUGGCAGUAUGCUCGAAGUUUGCAGCGACACUGAGGCAGAAUUCUCACACAGGCAGGACCCAUACAUACCGGACAAGGGCGCCUACCAGUGCAGCUGCAGGAAACAAAAACUCCCGAGGAGGCUUUCCCUUUGAGCUGUCACACCGGACACACUUUCAAGGGGUGAAAGACUACAGAUCCUCAAUGCCUACGAACAGGACACCGGCUCUGCAUGAAAACAAUUGGCUGCAGGGGCACUACACGGACUACAGCCAGGAUUGAGCUUGGGUACCCCAAAAGAUCCAGGCUGGAAAAUAUAUGUCUCACAUGCGUGCACGGAGAGGCUGCCAGGACAGAGAGAUGACAGUCACCACAGGCUCCUGUUUCCCUCAGGGCUGCACCUCACAGCCUCCAGGACUGGGUGAUGAGGCCGGUGAGUGCUAGCAGAGGAGUGGAUGGAACAUCAGAAUAAAGUGGCCUUU